CGGCCUUUUGGCUAAGAUCAAGUGUAG
rnacentral:piRNA from 3 species